GCUGGCGGUAUGCCUAACACAUGCAAGUCGUACGAGAGUUUUUAACUCUAGUGGCGGACGGGUGAGUAACACGUGAGAAUUUACCUUUAGGAGGGGGAUAACAAUUGGAAACGACUGCUAAUACCCCAUAUGCUUUUGAGUGAAAUGGAUUUAUAUUUAUCCGCCUAGAGAGAAGCUCGCGGCUGAUUAGCUUGUUGGUAAGGUAAGAGCUUACCAAGGCGACGAUCAGUAUCUGGUUUGAGAGGACGAUCAGACACACUGGAACUGAGACACGGUCCAGACUCCUACGGGAGGCAGCAGUGGGGAAUUUUCCGCAAUGGGCGAAAGCCUGACGGAGCAAUACCGCGUGAGGGAAGACUGCCUAUGGGUUGUAAACCUCUUUUUUCAGGGAGGAAUAAAAUGACGUGUACCUGAAGAAUAAGCAUCGGCUAACUCCGUGCCAGCAGCCGCGGUAAGACGGAGGAUGCAAGUGUUAUCCGGAAUCACUGGGCGUAAAGCGUCUGUAGGUGGUUUGAUAAGUCAACUGUUAAAUCUUGAG
rnacentral:rRNA from 1 species